AAGUCGUAACAAGGUUUCCGUAGGUGAACCUGCGGAAGGAUCAUCAGCGAGGGUUGUGAAUCCACGAGCGUGUGAACCGAGUAUGAGUGGGCAAAGGGGUGGUGUGGUCAUCCGACGCAAGUCGGCGCAGAGUUCUGGGGCGCAGCGUCCUGGGGCGCCUGCCGCCUGCACCGCCCGCCCGCAUUCUAUUUCCGAGCAUUGGUCACGAAUAAAAGAGUACAGAGUCUUGACUACAUAUAGUUAACACAACUUUCAACAAUGGAUCUCUUGGCUCUC
rnacentral:misc_RNA from 1 species